rnacentral:rRNA from 1 species
GUCAGCAGCCGCGGUAACACCGGCGGCCCGAGUGGUGAUCGUGAUUAUUGGGUCUAAAGGGUCCGUAGCCGGUUUGGUCAGUCCUCCGGGAAAUCUGAUAGCUCAACUAUUAGGCUUUCGGGGGAUACUGCCAGACUUGGAACCGGGAGAGGUAAGAGGUACUACAGGGGUAGGAGUGAAAUCUUGUAAUCCCUGUGGGACCACCUGUGGCGAAGGCGUCUUACCAGAACGGGUUCGACGGUGAGGGACGAAAGCUGGGGGCACGAACCGGAUUAGAUACCCGGGUAGUCCCAGCCGUAAACGAUGCUCGCUAGGUGUCAGGCAUGGCGCGACCGUGUCUGGUGCCGCAGGGAAGCCGUGAAGCGAGCCACCUGGGAAGUACGGCCGCAAGGCUGAAACUUAAAGGAAUUGGCGGGGGAGCACAACAACGGGUGGAGCCCUGCGGUUUAAUUGGACUCAACGCCGGACAACUCACCGGGGGCGACAGCAAUAUGUAGGCCAAGCUGAAGACUUUGCCUGAAUCGCUGAGAAGUGGUGCAUGG